rnacentral:lncRNA from 1 species
CCAAGACACCUUCUACUGCUGGCCGUGUGGCAAUUGGAAGCUGCUGUGAAGAUGCUUAGACGCGUAAUGAUGCGGACCGUGAUGCUUCAGCUGCACCACCUCUCAAAGCUGGAUGAGUUAGACCACUUCCCAAGCAUUGCUGGAAGUUGCCGGAUGAACGACCCAAGCUGCUAGAAUGUGGCAAUGGAUGGAAGCUGCUGCUUGGGCCGAAGCUGCUGUGAAUGUUGCUGCAAAAGUGGUGCUGCAUCUUGUGCUAAUGGGUCCGCUGCUGCCAGCCUUUUAAAGUUGCUAACGCUGCAGGAUGCUUUUAAGUUGAAGCCCGUGGAUGUGCUGCUACGUGGUGGUGUGAUGAAAGCUUGAUGCUAAGUGGAGUGCUGCACUGCUGGACUCCUAAG